AUUGAACGCUGGCGGCAUGCCUUACACAUGCAAGUCGAACGGUAACAGGUCUUCGGAUGCUGACGAGUGGCGAACGGGUGAGUAAUACAUCGGAACGUGCCCGAGAGUGGGGGAUAACGAGGCGAAAGCUUUGCUAAUACCGCAUACGAUCUCAGGAUGAAAGCAGGGGACCGCAAGGCCUUGCGCUCACGGAGCGGCCGAUGGCAGAUUAGGUAGGUGGUGGGAUAAAAGCUUACCAAGCCGACGAUCUGUAGCUGGUCUGAAAGGACGACCAGCCACACGGGGACUGCGACACGGCCCAGACUCCUACGGGAGGCAGCAGUGGGGGAUUUUGGACAGUGCGCGCAAGCCUGAUCCAGCCAUGCCGCGUGCAGGAUGAAGGCCUUCGGGUUGUAAACUGCUUUUGUACGGAACGAAAAGACUCUGGUUAAUACCUGGGGUCCAUGACGGUACCGUAAGAAUAAGCACCGGCUAUCUACGUGCCAGCAGCCGCAGUAAGAC
rnacentral:rRNA from 1 species